rfam:Ipomoea nil DNA, scaffold: scaffold0875, cultivar: Tokyo-kokei standard.
GCCCUUAUAGCUCAGUGGUAGAGCGUCAGUCUUGUAAACUGAAAGUCUGUAGUUUAAUCCUGCAUGGGGGCA